rnacentral:miRNA from 1 species
UGACAUGUAUUGAGGUAGAAUA